rnacentral:rRNA from 1 species
GAUGAACGCUAGCUAUAGGCUUAACACAUGUAAGUCGAGGGGAAACGGCAUUAUGUGCUUGCACAUUUUGGACGUCGACCGGCGCACGGGUGAGUAUCGCGUAUCCAACCUGCCCUUUACUUGGGGAUACCCCGUUGAAAGACGGCCUAAUACCCGAUGUAAUUCAUUGAUGGCAUCAGAUAUGAAUAAAAGAUUUAUCGGUAAAGGAUGGGGAUGCGUCUGAUUAGCUUGUUGGUGAGGUAAAGGCUCACCAAGGCGACGAUCAGUAGGGGUUCUGAGAGGAAGGUCCCCCACAUUGGAACUGAGACACGGUCCAAACUCCUACGGGAGGCAGCAGUGAGGAAUAUUGGUCAAUGGACGGAAGUCUGAACCAGCCAAGUAGCGUGCAGGAAGACGGCCCUAUGGGUUGUAAACUGCUUUUAUACGAGAAUAAUUUGAUGCACGUGUGCGUUAUUGCAUGUAUCGUAUGAAUAAGGACCGGCUAAUUCCGUGCCAGCAGCCGCGGUAAUACGGAAGGUCCAGGCGUUAUCCGGAUUUAUUGGGUUUAAAGGGAGUGUAGGCGGUUUGUUAAGCGUGUUGUGAAAUUUAGAUGCUCAACAUUUAACUUGCAGCGCGAACUGUCAGACUUGAGUACACGCAACGUAUGCGGAAUUCAUGGUGUAGCAGUGAAAUGCUUAGAUAUCAUGAAGAACUCCGAUUGCGAAGGCAGCAUACGGGAGUGUAACUGACGCUUAAGCUCGAAGGUGCGGGUAUCGAACAGG